rnacentral:rRNA from 1 species
GGUAGCGCCUCAUAUGUAUCCUCUCGGGGGUAGAGCACUGUUACGGCUAGGGGGUCAUCGCGACUUGCCAAACCAUUGCAAACUCCGAAUACCGAGAAGGACUGUAUGGGAGACACACGGCGGGUGCUAACGUCCGUCGUGAAAAGGGAUACAACCCAGACCCACAGCUAAGGUCCCAAUUUCAUAGCUAAGGGGAUAACGAUGUGGACAGGAAUUGACAGCCAGGAGGUUG